rnacentral:rRNA from 1 species
GAUGAACGCUGGCGGCGUGCCUAAUACAUGCAAGUCGAGCGAACGGACGAGAAGCUUGCUUCUCUGAUGUUAGCGGCGGACGGGUGAGUAACACGUGGAUAACCUACCUAUAAGACUGGGAUAACUUCGGGAAACCGGAGCUAAUACCGGAUGAUAUUUUGAACCGCAUGGUUCAAAAGUGAAAGACGGUCUUGCUGUCACUUAUAGAUGGAUCCGCGCUGCAUUAGCUAGUUGGUAAGGUAACGGCUUACCAAGGCAACGAUGCAUAGACGACCUGAGAGGGUGAUCGGCCACACUGGAACUGAGACACGGUCCAGACUCCUACGGGAGGCAGCAGUAGGGAAUCUUCCGCAAUGGGCGAAAGCCUGACGGAGCAACGCCGCGUGAGUGAUGAAGGUCUUCGGAUCGUAAAACUCUGUUAUUAGGGAAGAACAUAUGUGUAAGUAACUGUGCACAUCUUGACGGUACCUAAUCAGAAAGCCACGGCUAACUACGUG